rnacentral:lncRNA from 1 species
CCUAGGGCUUUCACAGCUUCACUCCCAAGUCCCAAAUCGAAGCUGCUCUCCGCCGCAUUCUACAUCUCCUGUCUCCAUCUUAGUCCUCAUACGACCUCAUUUCUCACUUCACCAGUUCAUCUUAAGUCUUAACCAUUAACCGACCUUAGUUACCACAUCCGUACGCCAUGCUGGUUUAUCGAUGUCGAAGCCGAAGUACCAAUCACUGCUCAUCUCUGGCUCACUUAGGUAAGUACUCAUCUCUGGCAGUAAAAUGGCCAAGAUCGACUAGGAAAUUUGUUAUCUUGAAUUGGCACUCCAAUUGAUUUAAAAUCUAGAGUUUACGCAUAUAGCUGAGAUUUUGCAAUUGACAUGAUUUUUUGCAUUAUUCUCCAAAUUAUUGCAGUCAUGUCUAUUGGAAGUACUAACAAUCCCAAUCAAGUCAUGGCAUCACCAUAUUGGUCAACUGAAAGUCUUACUUCAAC